rnacentral:snRNA from 1 species
AUACUUAUCUGGUCAGCAAGAUACCAUGAACACAAAGGUGGUUUUCCCAGGAUGAGGUUCAUCAGUUGUAUUCUGGUUGUGCUGACUCCUUCCCAAAUGCAGUAAACUUGACUGCAUUAUUUGUGGUAGUGGGGGACUGCAUUUGCACUUUCCCCUA